rnacentral:sRNA from 1 species
GCCAGGCAUGGUGGUGCAUGCCAGUAAUCCCAGUCACUUGGGAGGCUGAGGCAGGAGGUUUGCAAGUUCAAGGUCAGCCUCAG